GCGUUGAUGGUGCAGUGGUAGCAUUGUUGCUAUCAUUCAGCUGCUAGCAAGGGCUUUGCGACAACCCAGGUUCAGUUCCUGGUUGGCGCC